GGGUUGUGAGGUUAAGCGACUAAGCGUACACGGUGGAUGCCCUGGCAGUCAGAGGCGAUGAAGGACGUGCUAAUCUGCGAUAAGCGUCGGUAAGGUGAUAUGAACCGUUAUAACCGGCGAUUUCCGAAUGGGGAAACCCAGUGUGAUUCGUCACACUAUCAUUAACUGAAUCCAUAGGUUAAUGAGGCGAACCGGGGGAACUGAAACAUCUAAGUACCCCGAGGAAAAGAAAUCAACCGAGAUUCCCCCAGUAGCGGCGAGCGAACGGGGAGCAGCCCAGAGCCUGAAUCAGUGUGUGUGUUAGUGGAAGCGUCUGGAAAGGCGCGCGAUACAGGGUGACAGCCCCGUACACAAAAAUGCACAUACUGUGAGCUCGAUGAGUAGGGCGGGACACGUGGUAUCCUGUCUGAAUAUGGGGGGACCAUCCUCCAAGGCUAAAUACUCCUGACUGACCGAUAGUGAACCAGUACCGUGAGGGAAAGGCGAAAAGAACCCCGGCGAGGGGAGUGAAAAAGAACCUGAAACCGUGUACGUACAAGCAGUGGGAGCACAGAGCAAUCUGUGUGACUGCGUACCUUUUGUAUAAUGGGUCAGCGACUUAUAUUCUGUAGCAAGGUUAACCGAAUAGGGGAGCCGAAGGGAAACCGAGUCUUAACUGGGCGUUAAGUUGCAGGGUAUAGACCCGAAACCCGGUGAUCUAGCCAUGGGCAGGUUGAAGGUUGGGUAACACUAACUGGAGGACCGAACCGACUAAUGUUGAAAAAUUAGCGGAUGACUUGUGGCUGGGGGUGAAAGGCCAAUCAAACCGGGAGAUAGCUGGUUCUCCCCGAAAGCUAUUUAGGUAGCGCCUCGUGAAUUCAUCUCCGGGGGUAGAGCACUGUUUCGGCAAGGGGGUCAUCCCGACUUACCAACCCGAUGCAAACUGCGAAUACCGGAGAAUGUUAUCACGGGAGACACACGGCGGGUGCUAACGUCCGUCGUGAAGAGGGAAACAACCCAGACCGCCAGCUAAGGUCCCAAAGUCAUGGUUAAGUGGGAAACGAUGUGGGAAGGCCCAGACAGCCAGGAUGUUGGCUUAGAAGCAGCCAUCAUUUAAAGAAAGCGUAAUAGCUCACUGGUCGAGUCGGCCUGCGCGGAAGAUGUAACGGGGCUAAACCAUGCACCGAAGCUGCGGCAGCGACGCUGAUGCGUUGUUGGGUAGGGGAGCGUUCUGUAAGCCUGUGAAGGUGUGCUGUGAGGCAUGCUGGAGGUAUCAGAAGUGCGAAUGCUGACAUAAGUAACGAUAAAGCGGGUGAAAAGCCCGCUCGCCGGAAGACCAAGGGUUCCUGUCCAACGUUAAUCGGGGCAGGGUGAGUCGACCCCUAAGGCGAGGCCGAAAGGCGUAGUCGAUGGGAAACAGGUUAAUAUUCCUGUACUUGGUGUUACUGCGAAGGGGGGACGGAGAAGGCUAUGUUGGCCGGGCGACGGUUGUCCCGGUUUAAGCGUGUAGGCUGGUUUUCCAGGCAAAUCCGGAAAAUCAAGGCUGAGGCGUGAUGACGAGGCACUACGGUGCUGAAGCAACAAAUGCCCUGCUUCCAGGAAAAGCCUCUAAGCAUCAGGUAACAUCAAAUCGUACCCCAAACCGACACAGGUGGUCAGGUAGAGAAUACCAAGGCGCUUGAGAGAACUCGGGUGAAGGAACUAGGCAAAAUGGUGCCGUAACUUCGGGAGAAGGCACGCUGAUAUGUAGGUGAAGUCCCUCGCGGAUGGAGCUGAAAUCAGUCGAAGAUACCAGCUGGCUGCAACUGUUUAUUAAAAACACAGCACUGUGCAAACACGAAAGUGGACGUAUACGGUGUGACGCCUGCCCGGUGCCGGAAGGUUAAUUGAUGGGGUCAGCGCAAGCGAAGCUCUUGAUCGAAGCCCCGGUAAACGGCGGCCGUAACUAUAACGGUCCUAAGGUAGCGAAAUUCCUUGUCGGGUAAGUUCCGACCUGCACGAAUGGCGUAAUGAUGGCCAGGCUGUCUCCACCCGAGACUCAGUGAAAUUGAACUCGCUGUGAAGAUGCAGUGUACCCGCGGCAAGACGGAAAGACCCCGUGAACCUUUACUAUAGCUUGACACUGAACAUUGAGCCUUGAUGUGUAGGAUAGGUGGGAGGCUUUGAAGUGUGGACGCCAGUCUGCAUGGAGCCGACCUUGAAAUACCACCCUUUAAUGUUUGAUGUUCUAACGUUGACCCGUAAUCCGGGUUGCGGACAGUGUCUGGUGGGUAGUUUGACUGGGGCGGUCUCCUCCUAAAGAGUAACGGAGGAGCACGAAGGUUGGCUAAUCCUGGUCGGACAUCAGGAGGUUAGUGCAAUGGCAUAAGCCAGCUUGACUGCGAGCGUGACGGCGCGAGCAGGUGCGAAAGCAGGUCAUAGUGAUCCGGUGGUUCUGAAUGGAAGGGCCAUCGCUCAACGGAUAAAAGGUACUCCGGGGAUAACAGGCUGAUACCGCCCAAGAGUUCAUAUCGACGGCGGUGUUUGGCACCUCGAUGUCGGCUCAUCACAUCCUGGGGCUGAAGUAGGUCCCAAGGGUAUGGCUGUUCGCCAUUUAAAGUGGUACGCGAGCUGGGUUUAGAACGUCGUGAGACAGUUCGGUCCCUAUCUGCCGUGGGCGCUGGAGAACUGAGGGGGGCUGCUCCUAGUACGAGAGGACCGGAGUGGACGCAUCACUGGUGUUCGGGUUGUCAUGCCAAUGGCACUGCCCGGUAGCUAAAUGCGGAAGAGAUAAGUGCUGAAAGCAUCUAAGCACGAAACUUGCCCCGAGAUGAGUUCUCCCUGACCCUUUAAGGGUCCUGAAGGAACGUUGAAGACGACGACGUUGAUAGGCCGGGUGUGUAAGCGCAGCGAUGCGUUGAGCUAACCGGUACUAAUGAACCGUGAGGCUUAACCUUACAACGCCGAAGGUGUUU
rnacentral:rRNA from 1 species